rnacentral:tRNA from 1 species
GCUGACCUGGUCCAAUGGUAAGACACAGGCAUAUCACACCUGGGAUGCGUGGUUCGAGUCCGGCGGUCGGCA